AAAACGUUAAAGACUGAGUAAUUUGAAAACCAAAUUGACUCUGUCUUCUUUUGUCACUGACUGAAACCUUUCUUUUGAAGGUAAAAAUACUUUACGUACUCAGAGGAGCAGAAGGGACCAGAAAGCAUGAUCUAUUAUUGAGACCAGUGCUGCCCAACACUGGUUCUUGAGAUCUACCACUCUGCGUGUUUUCCUUCCUUUCUUGCUUCGUAUUAGCUGACUCAGGUACAUCCAUAUUCUGUCCGCCUCCAAAAGCACACCUGAUCCAAAGUAUGAGCAGUAAGAUAAACAUGGAAAACUGGCAGGGUAAUGGAUCUUAAGAACCAGCGUUGGGCUGCCCUGAUCAAGACCAAAUAAAAUGGAUGGGGAGUUUCCAGUAAACAUGAAUUAGGAAAGGAAAUUUCUAAAGAAGAAAAUGUGAAUUUUAUAUAGGCCAGAGGACAAUUUAACGAGGACAAACCAGUUCAGUGUGAAUCUAAUCCGACUGGUGUGAAUGGAGUGGUGGUUUAUGAUGAUGUGACAUAUCCCAUCCUCUCUGUCCCAGUUGCUUGUGUGGGUGGUCCUGAUGUGUCAAGACUGAGCAACAAUGGAGCGAGGAUAGAAGAUGUUGACUUAGUCUUACAAAUGCUACUGCUGAUGAUGUUCUGCACAAUCCUUGACCCCUGACAACUUCAGGAGCAAACAGCGCAUCUUGAUUCUUUUUUUCUUUUUUCUUCGCUCACCAUUUCAUUAAUUGCACAACAUUGGUCAAUGUGAAUUUCAAAUCAUAACACAUACACUCAUUUAUCCACUGAAACACAGGCUUCUAGCUUUAUAAAUGAUAAAUGUUCUUUGCA